GAUGAACGCUGGCGGCGUGCCUAAUACAUGCCAGUCGAGCGAACGGACGAGGAUCUUGCUCCUCUGACGUUAGCGGCGGACGGGUGAGUAACACGUGGAUAACCUACCUAUAAGACUGGGAUAACUUCGGGAAACCGGAGCUAAUACCGGAUAAUAUAUUGAACCGCAUGGUUCAAUAGUGAAAGACGGUUUUGCUGUCACUUAUAGAUGGAUCCGCGCCGCAUUAGCUAGUUGGUAAGGUAACGGCUUACCAAGGCAACGAUGCGUAGCCGACCUGAGAGGGUGAUCGGCCACAAUGGAACUGAGACACGGUCCAGACUCCUACGGGAGGCAGCAGUAGGGAAUCUGCCGCAAUGGGCGAAAGCCUGACGGAGCAACGCCGCGUGAGUGAUGAAGGUCUUCGGAUCGUAAAACUCUGUUAUUAGGGAAGAACAAAUGUGUAAGUAACUAUGCACGUCUUGACGGUACCUAAUAAGAAAGCCACGGCUAACUACGUG
rnacentral:rRNA from 1 species